rnacentral:pre_miRNA from 1 species
AAUAAGAGAAUAACAAAUCAGAUUUUUCCUCCUCAUUUUCAGCUUUUUUCUCCUGACAAAAUUUAAAUUCAACUAAAAAUGGUAAAAAACAUGACGAAAAAUCUGAUUUGUCAUUCUCUUAUU